UACGUAGGGUGCAAGCGUUACUCGGAAUUACUGGGCGUAAAGCGUGCGCAGGCGGUUGUGCAAGACAGGUGUGAAAUCCCCGGGCUUAGCCUGGGAACUGCAUUUGUGACUGCACAGCUGGAGUGCGGCAGAGGGGGAUGGAAUUCCGCGUGUAGCAGUGAAAUGCGUAGAUAUGCGGAGGAACACCGAUGGCGAAGGCAAUCCCCUGGGCCUGCACUGACGCUCAUGCACGAAAGCGUGGGGAGCAAACAGG
rnacentral:rRNA from 1 species